rnacentral:sRNA from 1 species
ACAGUCGCUUGAAUUUUAGUGAUAUAUGUAUGAAAAAAAAAUAUAGGGCCCCUAUAUUUUACAUAUAACAGUAUUUUAUUUUUUUUAUUUUCAUACAUAUAUCACUAAAAUUCAAGCGACUGU